rnacentral:rRNA from 1 species
GAUCCUGGCUCAGGAUGAACGCUAGCGACAGGCUUAACACAUGCAAGUCGAGGGGCAGCGGGGGAUAAGCUUGCUUUUCCUGCCGGCGACCGGCGCACGGGUGAGUAACACGUAUGCAACCUGCCCCUGUCAGAGGGAUAAUCCGGAGAAAUCCGGUCUAAUAUCGCAUAAAGCGUUUGCCGGGCAUCCUGCGAGCGCCAAAGGAGUAAUCCGGACAUGGAUGGGCAUGCGGCG